AUACGGAGGGUGCAAGCGUUGUUCGGAAUUACUGGGCGUAAAGCGCGUGCAGGCGGUAAGGUAAGUCAGAUGUGAAAGCCCCGGGCUCAACCCGGGAAGUGCAUUUGAUACUGCCUUUCUUGAGUAUGGGAGAGGAGAGUGGAAUUCCCAGUGUAGAGGUGAAAUUCGUAGAUAUUGGGAGGAACACCCGUGGCGAAGGCGACUCUCUGGACCAAUACUGACGCUGAGGCGCGAAAGCGUGGGGAGCGAACAGGAUUAGAAACCCUAGUAGUCC
rnacentral:rRNA from 1 species